AGUCUGUGGCCACGUGCCUGUUCCUUCAUAAAGAAGAGCUUUAAGAGUAUUAUUCAUGGCAGACGAGGAGCCAAAGCUCAGCAAGAAAGUUUGAUAAUGAAGAGACUGUUGUUGACAGGCCGCCGGACAUGUUCCUCAUCAUUUCGUCACUUCUUCUCACCUUCUAGUGCUUUGAAGAGAAACCUCAAAGCUGAGAA